rnacentral:misc_RNA from 1 species
UUGUGGAGGAGGACGCCGAAGGUGGGGCUAAUGACUGGGGUGAAGUCGUAACAAGGUAGCCGUACCGGGAGGUGCGGCUGGAUCACCUCCUAACAGGGAGACAACAAAAUGUUUAAUAUUAUUUUGUCACCUUAGGUCGAUCGGUAUCUCACGUUUUUAAUUUAUUAAGAAUUUCAUUUCCUAAGUUUUUCUAGGUCACACCCAUUAUUUUUCCUGGGCCAUUAGCUCAGGUGGUUAGAGCGCACCCCUGAUAAGGGUGAGGUCCCUGGUUCAAGUCCAGGAUGGCCCAUAUCUCUAUGUUGGGGGUAUAGCUCAGUUGGUAGAGCGCCUGCUUUGCAAGCAGGAUGUCAGCGGUUCGAGUCCGCUUACCUCCACUGAUUACCACCUCUUCCAUAAAUUUGUAUUAAGGAAAUGUUUUGAGUUGUGAUCAAAUUCUGAACGAAUCUAGCUUCCUAAUGAAACCAUUAAGAUGCUGGACUCAUUGAAUUAAUUUCAUUGUUUUCAGAGAACCUUGACAACUGCAUAGAUUAUUUUUAAAGACAAUAAGCAUCUUUUAAUGAUGCAGAUUUAUUAUUUGUGCAAAUGCAUUAAUAACAAUUCUAUUAAGCUGAUGCUUCAAUUUUGGAAGUUAUUGGUCAAGCUACAA